AACCUCCGCAAUGUGAGAAAUCGCGACGGGGGGAUCCCAAGUGCCAUUCUUAACGGGAUGGCUUUUCAUUAGUGUAAAGAGCUUUUGGAAUAAGGGCUGGGCAAGACCGGUGCCAGCCGCCGCGGUAACACCGGCAGCUCUAGUGGUAGCAGUUUUUAUUGGGCCUAAAGCGUCCGUAGCCGGUUUAAUAAGUCUCUGGUGAAAUCCUGUAGCUUAACUGUGGGAAUUGCUGGAGAUACUAUUAGACUUGAGACCGGGAGGGGUUAGAGGUACUCCCAGGGUAGAGGUGAAAUUCUGUAAUCCUGGGAGGACCGCCUGUUGCGAAGGCGUCUAACUGGAACGGUUCUGACGGUGAGGGACGAAAGUUAGGGGCGCGAACCGGAUUAGAUACCCGGGUAGUCCUAACUGUAAACGAUGCGGACUUGGUGUUGGGGUGGCUUUGAGCUGCUCCAGUGCCGAAGGGAAGCUGUUAAGUCCGCCGCCUGGGAAGUACGGUCGCAAGACUGAAACUUAAAGGAAUU
rnacentral:rRNA from 1 species